rnacentral:rRNA from 1 species
UACGGGGGGGGCAAGCGUUGUUCGGAAUUACUGGGCGUAAAGGGUUUGUAGGUGGCUAAUUAAGUCAGACGUGAAAUCCCUCAGCUUAACUGGGGAACUGCGUCUGAUACUGGUUGGCUUGAGUGCAGGAGAGGAAUGCGGAAUUCCAGGUGUAGCGGUGAAAUGCGUAGAUAUCUGGAGGAACACCGGUGGCGAAGGCGGCAUCCUGGACCGAGAUUGACGCUGAGGCGCGAAAGCCAGGGGAGCAAACGGG